GAAUAAUCUUCAUCCUACACGUUAAUGGCCCUGAUCUACUUUAAGCACUCAGAGAAAUUAAAGAACUUUAGUAACUAAUCCUAAUCUUCUUUCUUGCAGACAAAACCGAUAGAAAAAGAAAAGCAGAGGGAAAAUGUUGCCGAAAUUUCUUUUAAACGAUGAAGAGCUGAAGUCUGCGAUCAAGAAAGUAAAGAAGAUGAAGGGAAGAGGAAGGAACACCAAGAAUUUACAUGGUUCGGUCAAAGGAAGCCUACAUCCACGGUAGAAGCUGAUAAUUGCUUAUCAGGGAGCUACAAAGUGUAUUAUAAGAUGAGUUUCUGUUUUCUGUAGCUAUCUAUCUCUCAAUCUAUUUUUUCUCUCUUGAAUGUACAAGUAGAUUACAAAUGUAUUUAUAGACAGCUUGUGUAACUAAUUUUGUUUUUUACUGCUUGUAAUAACAUAUAUGUUGGCCUUUUUUCUUUCUUUCUUUCUUUAACUUUUGAAUGGGAUUUUAAUGAUUUGAACAAGAACAUCACCGAUUGUGACAUGCAUGUAUAAUGUUUAGUGAAAAUUAUAAAUGUGUCAUUGGUAUAUUUUUGUUGAACCGUUAUACAUUUAUUAUGAUUGGUGUUAAUAUGUUGUAAAUGGUAUUGUAAAUGGUAUAUACUGUUGUAUGAACAAAUUUUUUUAAGAUGUUUUCUUUAAACUUAUGUUUUCCUUAAACUUAUGUUUCCAGAUUUGAUAGUUUGUUUUCAAAAUGUAACUUCUAUCCUCAAAGAAUGGAUAUUGAACUCAUCCAAUUUCGAUUUCAACAUAAAAAUCACCCAUUUGUAUUCAUUUGAUCUGAUAGAUUACGUAUAGGUUGCAUAUAUGCUGCUUUAUAGUAUAUAAAGGUGGCUACAUGACUAAUUUAAAGUCUAUAAUUUUAAUCAGUGUCAGUUGAUUUUUUAACUGAAAAUGUUGGCCUGAUGUUAAAUUGCAGGCCCAAAACUAAGCUGAUGAAGUCUGGUCCACGAAAGAUGAGGGUAGGUGAAAUGAAAGAUUGAGGAAAGACCACGAUUUUGAGCUGAAUUGAAAACCACUUUCUCUUUUCUAAUGUGAAGGAGUGAAGAUCAUAUGGGAAAUUAAUUUUGGUAAAAGAUUUUUGCAGGUGAAAAUCAAAGAUUAUGAAGCAUGCAGUUCACAAAUGAGAAUAAGAAGAUGAAGAUGAACACAGUGAUGUAUGUGAUGCUGCUUGAAAUUCCUACAUCCAUGGGGAAGGAGUGGUUUCGAUUAACAAGAGCUACAAGACAAUAAGAACUUCUCUUUGUACAUAUUUCUUUUAAAUUUUUAAGUGUCUGUAGUAAAUGCAAACAUCUAUGUAUUUAUAGACUAUGGACUGUUACACGAAUUUUUGUAAUAUGUUAAAGAAAAUAGGACCGUUGAGAUCAAAAUCUUCAUAAAGCUCCACCUUGAUCUCAAUGCAUGUAGCUCUCUUCCUUCCAAAUCUGAUAUUGUCUAACCUUUUUCAGGUAACUGGAAGCCAAUCAGCUCGAGACACUUAGAUAGCUUGAGCUUUGUAACAUGCUUUUGUAAGCAUGUCAACAACAUUUUCAGAGGAGUCUGAUUGAGAGUUUAGAAGCACAUAGACCUCAUUUUCAUCACCAAUUUUCUCCUCAAGGCCUAAAACUAAGCUGAUGAAAUCUAAUCCAUGAAAGAUGAGGGUAGGUAAAAUGAAAGGUUGAGAAAAUGCCACGAAUUUGAGCUGAAUGUAAAACACGUGGUGAAAACCACUUUCUCUUUUUUUAUGUGAAGGAGUGAAAAUCAUAUGGGAAAUUAAUUUUGGUAAAAGAUUUUUGUACGUGAAAAUCAAAGAUUAUGAAGCAUGCAGUUCACAAAUGAGAAUAAGAAGAAGAUGAACACAGUGAUGUACGUGGUUCGGCUUGAAAUGCCUACAUUCAUGGAAAGGAGUGGUUUCGAUUAACAAGAGCUACAAGAAGAUGAGAACUUCUCUUUGUACAUAUUUCUUUUAAAUUUUUAAGUGCCUGUAGUAAAUGCAAACAACUAUGUAUUUAUAGACUAUAGACUGUUACAUGAAUUUUUGUAAUAUGUUACAGAAAAUAGGACUGUUGAGAUCAAAAUCUUCAGAGAAAAUUUGGAGAAAACUCUUACGUUUAGUGUAUUCAUAUAGUAUGCUAAUGAUGGUAUAUAUAGUACAGUUCAAUAUAGUA